CCGCGAGAGGCGCUUCAACUAUGGUUUAACUCUAUCGGAAACAAAUGGAAACUGUUUAAUGUUCCUUCAAAUUCCAAUAGAUGGCGACACAAUAGCGUAAACAAAUUUACCGUACUUGUCCCAAGUUAGGGUAAAAAUGUAGUUUUUGAAAUUUCACUUCAGAAUGAACUUUGAAUAGAAAUUUUAAAACGCGUUUGAGUGCGUAGUUUUGAUAUACAUUUUAUUAAACAAAUUACAUGUAAUUAUUUUUAUUGAAAUAAGUAUUAAAAAUGAUAAAAUUAUUAUUUUUGGGAUGAAACAGUCAGGUUGUAGGUGCAGUACGGUAAAGCUGCUACAGCAACAUUUUGACAGAUCGUUUGGCCAAUCAGCAUUCAGCAUCAUCACCGCCGGCUCGCACCAGCACAACACAAAAAUAUAAAUAAAAUCAGUAAAACUGAAAACGGGUGAUAUCGAGCAUAUUAUUGCGACUGUUCUACUUGUUCAGUGAAAUAAAAACGCGGCGGAUGUAUCAUUCUGUCGCUGGAAGCCACCACCAAGGAAAAUCCUGAAAAUUUCGCAGGAGGAAAUCAGAUUGAUGAAUAAAGUAUUUACCUUCUGGAGCUCUAACUCAACGAAUGAGAGGAGAAAAAUACGGUCACACAGGAGCUCAAAAAAGUGCUGCAAAAAUUGCCCGAGGAACGGUUUAACAUCCAAUCGCGUAGUGGCCAUGAGGAAGUUUCCCGAAAAACAAAAAAUAUUCAGCCCCAAGAGACUGACCUCAGAGCCGUGGAAGUUGGCUGUAACAUGCGACAUGCGGACAAGAGAACGGGCUCUAAUCAGACCGACGGCACAAUCGCAGAUAUCAAGGAAAAAAAUCACGCUACUGGGAUAUCGGAUUGGAUAUCCCGUUAGAUAAAAAGGACGCCAAUCCCUGCUCGAUGACUAUCUGUUGUGGGCUGUGGCGGUUCAAGAGCAGCCCCCUUCCGGUUCCGAAUAAUAGCUGCGGAAGUUACAGUGCCUU